rnacentral:rRNA from 1 species
GACGAACGCUGGCGGCGUGCUUAACACAUGCAAGUCGAACGGAAAGGCCCUGCUUUUGUGGGGUGCUCGAGUGGCGAACGGGUGAGUAACACGUGAGUAACCUGCCCUUGACUUUGGGAUAACUUCAGGAAACUGGGGCUAAUACCGGAUAGGAGCUCCUGCUGCAUGGUGGGGGUUGGAAAGUUUCGGCGGUUGGGGAUGGACUCGCGGCUUAUCAGCUUGUUUGUGGGGUAGUGGCUUACCAAGGCUUUGACGGGUAGCCGGCCUGAGAGGGUGAACGGCCACAUUGGGACUGAGAUACGGCCCAGACUCCUACGGGAGGCAGCAGUGGGGAAUAUUGCACAAUGGGCGGAAGCCUGAUGCAGCAACGCCGCGUGCGGGAUGACGGCCUUCGGGUUGUAAACCGCUUUCGACUGUGACGAAGCGUGAGUGACGGUAAUGGGUAAAGAAGCACCGGCUAACUACGUG